ACGGGAGUGGAUGCCGGCAGGCCAUGGCCGGUAGGUGUCGCUCGGGCUCCCGGCCUCCAGCUCAGACGGUUAUCGCUACCGGCGCCAUCUUAACCGGGAAGGCGGGGCCAGGAGGGGCUGCCAUGGCGACGGUGAGAUUACUGCAACCAAUGAGAGUCUUCAUCGUCUCUCCGUCUCAGAGCGAGGCUUGAAACGCACAACGUCUGGGGAGAGUCACGUGAUGGGUCUGGGAGGCCGAGUCCGCCAUCUUUAAU